UACGAAGGGGGCUAGCGUUGCUCGGAAUCACUGGGCGUAAAGGGUGCGUAGGCGGGUCUUUAAGUCAGGGGUGAAAUCCUGGAGCUCAACUCCAGAACUGCCUUUGAUACUGAAGAUCUUGAGUCCGGGAGAGGUGAGUGGAACUGCGAGUGUAGAGGUGAAAUUCGUAGAUAUUCGGAAGAACACCAGUGGCGAAGGCGACUCACUGGCCCGUUACUGACGCUGAGGCGCGAAAGCUAGGGGAGCAAACGGG
rnacentral:rRNA from 1 species